CACACCGCCCGUCACACCAUGGGAGUUGGCUCUACCCGAAGACGGUGUACUAACCUCGCAAGAGGAGGCAGCCGGCCACGGUCGGGUCAGCGACUGGGGUG
rnacentral:rRNA from 1 species